rnacentral:rRNA from 1 species
GACGAACGCUGGCGGCGUGCUUAACACAUGCAAGUCGAACGGAAAGGCCCUGCUUUUGUGGGGUGCUCGAGUGGCGAACGGGUGAGUAACACGUGAGUAACCUGCCCUUGACUUUGGGAUAACUUCAGGAAACUGGGGCUAAUACCGGAUAGGAGCUCCUGCUGCAUGGUGGGGGUUGGAAAGUUUCGGCGGUUGGGGAUGGACUCGCGGCUUAUCAGCUUGUUGGUGGGGUAGUGGCUUACCAAGGCUUUGACGGGUAGCCGGCCUGAGAGGGUGACCGGCCACAUUGGGACUGAGAUACGGCCCAGACUCCUACGGGAGGCAGCAGUGGGGAAUAUCGCACAAUGGGCGGAAGCCUGAUGCAGCAACGCCGCGUGCGGGAUGACGGCCUUAGGGUUGUAAACCGCUUUCGCCUGUGACGAAGCGUGAGUGACGGUAAUGGGUAAAGAAGCACCGGCUAACUACGUG